AGCUCUUCGUAUUUAUGAAGAGUCUUGCCUGCCCAGUGGAUUUUCUAAACGGCCGCGGUAUCUUGACCGUGCAAAGGUAGCAUAAUCAUUUGUCUCUUAAAUGGGGACUUGUAUGAAUGGCGUAACAUUCUAUUUCUGUCUCCCUUUUUGACCUUUUAAACUUCUAUCCAUGUGAAGAAGCAUGGAUAAUAAAGAUAGACGAGAAGACCCUGUCGAGCUUUAAUUAAUACUAAACCACAUAUUUUCUUGUAGAAAAAAGACAAAUUUAGUGUAAAUUUUGGUUGGGGUAACCAUGGAGGAUAAAUAUUCUCCAGUUAUUAAGAAGAUAUCUAAUCACUUUAUUACUUUUAAGAACCAAGAUAUCUUGGAAAUCGGAAAAAGUUACCGCAGGGAUAACAGCGUUAUAUCCUCUGAGAGUUCAUAUUGACGAGGAAGUUUGCGACCUCGAUGUUGGAUUGGGGUACCCAAAAGGUGCAACAGCUUUUUAAGGUUGGACUGUUCGUCCAUUAAAACCCU
rnacentral:rRNA from 1 species